rnacentral:rRNA from 1 species
GACGAACGCUGGCGACGCGCUUAACACAUGCAAGUCGAACGGAAAGGCCUGCUUUCCCUUGUGGAUUGCGGGUACUCGAGUGGCGAACGGGUGAGUAACACGUGAGUGAUCUGCCCCCAACUUGGGUAUAAGCCUGGGAAACUGGGUCUAAUUCCCGAUAGGACUGCAGGGUGGUGCCUGUGGUGGAAAACGAUUUUCUAGUGGUUGGGGAUGAGCUCGCGGCCUAUCAGCUUGUUGGUGGGGUAAUGGCCUACCAAGGCGGCGACGGGUAGCCGGCCUGAGAGGGUGGACGGCCACAUUGGGACUGAGAUACGGCCCAGACUCCUACGGGAGGCAGCAGUGGGGAAUAUUGCACAAUGGGCGGAAGCCUGAUGCAGCGACGCCGCGUGGGGGAUGACGGCCUUCGGGUUGUAAACUCCUUUCGACCGCGAGGAAGCCACCUGGUUGGAAGGGUGGUGACGGUAGUGGUAGAAGAAGCACCGGCUAACUGCGUG